rnacentral:rRNA from 1 species
UCUCCUACGGGGGGCAGCAGUGGGGAAUAUUGCACAAUGGGGGAAACCCUGAUGCAGCGACGCCGCGUGAGUGAAGAAGUAUUUCGGUAUGUAAAGCUCUAUCAGCAGGGAAGAAAAUGACGGUACCUGACCAAGAAGCCCCGGCUAACUACGUGCCAGCAGCCGCGGUAAUACGUAGGGGGCAAGCGUUAUCCGGAUUUACUGGGUGUAAAGGGAGCGUAGACGGCUGUGCAAGUCAGAAGUGAAAGCCCGGGGCUCAACCCCGGGACUGCUUUUGAAACUGCGUGGCUGGAGUGCAGGAGAGG